UAGGGUCAGCUGGGUGUAUCUUCGGUAUUCUGUAUUUUUUUGCGAAUAUCCACUUAUCAGAUUACUGAGAGUUUCACAGGUGGCCUUAGACCACAACAGCUACAUUCUUGCUUCUAUACUUCCUAAGAACAGAUAUCGGAUGGAAUGAGAUGCAAUCUUCUAAGCUGAGCGGGAGUAAAACAGCUUGGGCUGUCUUCCAGGUCUUCCAUGAAAGCAGUAUGUCCUUUGACACUUUAGCCCAAUGAGACAUAAAACCCUUGGUGGCCUGAUUGCCUUAGUCUCUAGACUGCAAGGCAAAUGGAGCAUGCACAGAUGAGGUGCCAUCUGCCAUGGGAAGUUUUCCUGAGCCUUGGGAUUGACUCACAAAGAAUCCCAGGCUUGCAUUAGUCCUUGCUGCCAAUCUGUAAAUAAUAAGUUCAUAAUCAUUACACAACA